rnacentral:rRNA from 1 species
GACGAACGCUGGCGGCGUGCCUAAUACAUGCAAGUAGAACGCACAGUUUAUACCGUAGCUUGCUACACCAUAGACUGUGAGUUGCGAACGGGUGGGUAACGCGUAGGUAACCUGCCUGGUAGCGGGGGAUAACUAUUGGAAACGAUAGCUAAUACCGCAUAAUAUUGAUUAUUGCAUGAUAAUUGAUUGAAAGAUGCUAUUGCAUCACUACCAGAUGGACCUGCGUUGUAUUAGCUAGUAGGUGAGGUAACGGCUCACCUAGGCGACGAUACAUAGCCGACCUGAGAGGGUGAUCGGCCACACUGGGACUGAGACACGGCCCAGACUCCUACGGGAGGCAGCAGUAGGGAAUCUUCGGCAAUGGACGAAAGUCUGACCGAGCAACGCCGCGUGAGUGAAGAAGGUUGUCGGAUCGUAAAGCUCUGUUGUAAGAGAAGAACGGGUGUGAGAGUGGAAAGUUCACACUGUGACGGUAUCUUACCAGAAAGGGACGGCUAACUACGUG